CUGAGGGAGACCCCCAGGGGUAACAGCCAUGGGCCCUGGAGAGGGCUGGGCACUGGGUGCAGGGACCAGAGAAGGUCCAGGCAGAAGACAGGGCCACGUGGGCCAGGCAUACUGGGACAGCUGCUGCCAGCAAGAGGGACUGGGGGCCCCUCUCCAGGAAGUUCAAGCGGAGCUUCCACCCUGAGGGCAGAUGAGGCCCAAGACUGGCCAAGUGCACUGUGAGGCCCCCCAGGGGGACAGAGCCCUGACCGAGGCAGUGCCGGCCCCUACUGCUACUAAGCCUAGCCAUGGGUGCCCAUGGCCCACUGUCCCCAACGCAGCACCACUGAGCAGAGCCCCAGCAGGAAGGAGCCUAUCCAGCUUUCGAAGCCCAUGAGACAGGUAGUGGCUGUGGGUCUGAGCUGCUGGUCCUGGGACUCUCCCACCACAGCCUCCCCGAAACCUUCAAUCUGCUUCCUGUUCCUACAAAGGACUUCUGGCGUCAGAAGUUGGACUUGGCAAAACCACCACCCAGAACAGUUGGCUACUAUGCAUCAAAGGACCCAGGUCAAGUGGACCCUUCUAGGUGGGCAGAAGUCUCCUCACUCAGUCACACUCUUCCCGCCCUCCUCUGAGGAACUCCGCGCCAACAAGUCCACCCUGGUGUGCCUCAUCAGUGACUUCUACCCCAGCGGCGUGACGGUGGCCUGGAAGGCAAACGGCGGCCCCAUCACCCAGGGCGUGGAGACCACCAAGCCCUCCAAACAGAGCAACAACAAGUACGCGGCCAGCAGCUACCUGAGCCUGUCGCCUGACAAGUGGAAAUCAUACAGCAGCGUCAGCUGCCUGGUCACGCACGAGGGGAGCACCGUGGAGAAGAAGGUGGUCCCCGCAGAGUGCUCUUAGGUCCCCGACACCCUCCCCCACCCAAGGGGGCCUGGAGCCACAGGACCUCCAGGAGGACCUGCCCUCCCACCAGGGUCACCCCGGCCCUUCUUGCUGCACCCGCUCGACACUCAAUAAAAUGUCCUUUAUUCAAUCAGAAA